GGGAACAGUAGGCUAAUAUACCUUUAAAUGUAUACAAGUUCUUCCCUAUUGAAGACAUUCUUGAUGGAAAGGCGCCCCAUAAUGUUUUUAUUCAUAUGAAAAAAAAUUUCUAGCAUUAAACUAUUUCUUUUCUUUCAUUUAUUUCCCUUUCAAGUUUAAUCAAUCCCAUUUGUUAUGAUAGAUGUUAUUGGAUUUCUUAAAGCUGUUGGCCCACUUAAGGGGUUCCAAAGCUACAAUGAGACCCAAAGCAUAUUUCUUUUUGAGAUUGCUGAUAUUAAGUAAUUAUACUUUACAGGAUUGACAUGCUUUCUCUUUCUGUCGAAGCAACCAUAUUGUUGCCAUAUUAUUCACUAAACUUUUUUUAUUCCAUUUACAGCAAUAAAGUAUUAAUUGCGUGUUAUUUGGUGACUGCGCAACUGCUGCAUACAACAAUUACCUGACACACACAGAGGUCCCAAUUAUUGUAGUCAUGCAUUUUGUAUGUGCAAGCAAGAAAGUUUCAACCCUGACAUACCAAAAGUGGAAGACAUGCUACAAAGAAUUGAAGGAACUCCAGCGCACAUUUUCCAUACUUUCAGUCAAAUCAUUGGCACUCAACAAUCACAGCCUUCUUCGGAGGCAAUGCUUUAUAAUAAGAAGAAGAUUACAGUCUCUGAAAUCAACAAACAAGAAAAGGAGGAUCCUUUUAUUGUAGCUUGUGAGAUUGAGAAGUUGGAAACCAAAUAUGAUUGGAUUUAUGAAGGAUGUCCUACUU